rfam:Brachypodium distachyon strain Bd21 chromosome 4, whole genome shotgun sequence.
UAAGUACUUCCUCCGUCUAACAAAAGAUGUCUCAAGUUUGUUAAAAUUUGGAUGUAUCUAGACGUGAUUUAGUGUAUAGAUGCAUUCAAAUUUAGUCAAAGUUGAAACAUCCUUUGUUGGACGGAGGGAAGUACUAA